CUAUGCCUUAUGCACUGUAAGCCAGCGAUGGCCUCAAAGCUCUGCUAAGGGGAUUCCCAGCCUGAACCUCCAGCCACUCCAGCUUUCCUCAUAAGGUAACACAGAUCACGAAGGAGGGUUUGAAGAAAUGACAUAGGGUUUGAGGAUGUCUUCGCACCCCAGAGCUGAUGCACAACAUGGAGCUGGACAGAUCAUCAAAGCUCGCACGUAAGAGAGAAAAGCUGCCUGCUCCCAUUUCCCCAAACUUUUGUCGUUCCUCUGUAUUCCUUUAAGUUACGAUUGUAUUGUUUUCUUUAACCCGAGUGUUUGAGCGUUCCAGUACUUUUACUAGACAAGCAUAGGGACGAACCCUGAAGGUGAGGAAUUCCACAACUUUGAGGAGAAAGGAAUCAAACCGAGGAAACUGGGUGAAAGAAAAAAGCAAGUCUUCCACAAACUUUUGAUGAGAUGUCACUUAAUAUCACCUGCAUCACACAUUUGGAUCAGAAAGUACCAUGAAACAGAAAUGCUUUCAGUUCUAGUGAUUCUAUGACUCUGAGAUCAAAGAGAAGAUGGGUCUCUGGAAAAGAUGAUAUCCCUUGGCUCAGCUCGGUUCACUGCUGAUUUUUUCCUCUUGAUUCUUGGUCUCCACUGUGCAUAGGAGCAUGCAGCUCCUUGACUGACAUCUGACUCCCAUGAAAUAUCCCACUGGGAAACAGUUUCCUUCAACUGCCCAUAAUUGUGUCUACCGUGGACAAUAACACCAGAAUUAUAGUCCCCAACUCUGUGCCCCUGCUGCACAAAAAACACUACUGGACUGGUAGCUAAGCCCUUAAGUCAACUAUUCCUCCAAUCAACUUUUGUUUC
rnacentral:lncRNA from 7 species